rnacentral:rRNA from 1 species
ACGAACGCUGGCGGCGGGCUUAACACAUGCAAGUCGAACGGAAAGGCCCUGCUUUUGUGGGGUGCUCGAGUGGCGAACGGGGGAGUAACACGUGAGUAACCUGCCCUUGACUUUGGGAUAACUUCAGGAAACUGGGGCUAAUACCGGAUAGGAGCUCCUGCUGCAUGGUGGGGGUUGGAAAGGUUCGGCGGUUGGGGAUGGACUCGCGGCUUAUCAGCUUGUUGGUGGGGUAGUGGCUUACCAAGGCUUUGACGGGUAGCCGGCCUGGGAGGGUGACCGGCCACAUUGGGACUGAGUUACGGCCCAGACUCCUACGGGAGGCAGCAGUGGGGAAUAUUGCACAAUGGGCGGAAGCCUGAUGCAGCAACGCCGCGUGCGGGAUGACGGCCUUCGGGUUGUAAACCGCUUUCGCCUGUGACGAAGCGUGAGUGACGGUAAUGGGUAAAGAAGCACCGGCUAACUACGUG